rnacentral:lncRNA from 1 species
CGGAGGUUGACGAGGGAAACCGUUACCCUGGAUUGUUUCCGGUGACGUCGCAACCUAAGGUAGGAGGAGAAGAGUCCUCUCUCACACGCAAAGAGAGGAGAGAGUGAGGAGGUCUCUAUCAGCACUACCAUUGGCGACGGCUUGCGGCGACUGGUACAGAGGCGUUGACGGCUGGCAAAGUGGAGGUGGCGGCAUCCUCAAGCAGGGAGGCGAACCUUUCCCUGGUCAUUUCGUCUAUGGAGGAGGAGACCCUAGGUCUCUGAAGCAGUGCUUGGCAUAAUGAGGGGAAAACUUUGAAACCCCUAAAGUGUUUCUGAUGCUAGGGCAAAAUAUCUUUGGGCCUGGCUCUGGGUCGUAUUCCUUCUGCCCGCCACCACGUACACUCCCAUUCACACCUCCUCUGUUUGGUCUGAAGCCAUUCUGUGUCUGGCAAACAAAAAAAGGGUUUGGGCAUUGAACCCAUUUCGUUUCCAGCACCUCCACUUUCAGCCUUGCACCCCUGACAAAUUAAAAGUUGGAAAGGAAGGACUUGGGC